rnacentral:tRNA from 1 species
GGGAUUGUGGCUCAGUGGUAGAGCAUUUGCCUAACAUGCACGGGACCCUGGGUUUGAUCCUCAGCACCA